rnacentral:lncRNA from 1 species
UUGGAAGAGAGAACCACAUAAGCCCUCCUCCUUCCCUUCACUUCCAAAGCCCUAAGGGAAGAAAACAGUCCUCCCUACAGACAUCUCUCUCAAAGCCACUACUAUAAGAUUCUACUGGUUCAUUUUGCUGUAAGCACCAUCCUCAGAGUUCUUUAACUGCAGUAUCUUGCUGUGCAUGACCCUUAGGGAGAACUGAUGCUGACAUUGGUCAGCAGACUGGCAGUUGAACAGACUGUUUGUUCAUAUCCCUCAAUGAACGUUUCCUUGUCUAGUUAAUGUGUGUGAAUUAGAAUAUUUCCUUUUCUAUGCACUCUGCCUCCAAAGAUUCGACGAACAGAGUUCCCACAUGGCUUAAACAUACACAUAAUUUCGCACGUGAGCACCCCCUGGGAUCCGGAGCAUUUUGUGUCUGUCUGUCUCCAAUUCCCUCUCUUCCCCUCCCCCAUGGACUUUUUCCCCCCAUUAGGCAAAUGGAAGGCUCAUGCCACCUGUUAGCAUUACGUCAUUGGCUCCCCAGAACACAGUUGCACCAAAGGCCUUAAACAAAGUAGUUCUUCUUGUAUUGUUUGCACUCAAAGAGCUGAUAUCAUGCCAACUGAUGUCAUUGUAUGUCUUUGUGUAACUGCUAUGGCAACUGGGCAGGUGGGGAGUCUCCAGCUGAUGUCAUUGGGGAAGGAGGUGUAGAGACAGAAUUUUAAAAAGCUCUAUGUUGCUUUUUUUCUGUGUGUGUGGUUUUCUGGCAUGCAUUUUUUUCCCCCAAACUAGCUGCUUUUAAGACAAAUUACAGCUUGAGUACCCUAAAUAAGGACACAGAGAAGUCUCCCUGCCCCCCCCACCUACCCCCUAAAGGCUUCUUUUGAGUUUGUUU